rnacentral:lncRNA from 1 species
GGAAAGUAUAGGCAUGCUCUUCUCUCAUAAGAACACAAAUGAAAUCUCAUGUGGCGCAGUGUCAUAAGCAUCAUAAUGAUCGGACCAAACUGCAGCGGGGAUGUGAAUCAUCUUCUUGAUUUAUUAAAGAAAAGAACACUGAACAAAAGAACGACGAAAACCAGUCCUGAACAGUACAAUGACUAUACAUGGAACAACCACCCACAAACACAAGAGAAAAUAAACCCAUAUUGCCUACUUAUGAUAAAAGAUUUUGGGAUACCUUGAGCCGUGUAACAUUUACAGUAUCCUUACAACAACAUUCACAUGCACCACAUAAUUCACUUAUCAAUAAUCCUUCAAACAGUCGCUGACAAUCUAAAUCAGGUGUUCAAGACUUUCCAGCACAGACAGCACGUUAUAUCAGGGUUUCCAAAACUCGGUCCUGGGACCCUCCCUGGGUAUAACUUAUGCAAAACGUGCAAAGUUUGGGAAAUCCUACCUGAGGCACAUGAACAGUCAUUCGGUCUCUCUCUACCAACACAAAGUCACCACCAGUACUUCAAGUAGCAACCACAUAACAACAGAGACAACAGUUACAGUAAAAAAAAGCAUCACUAAAACACAAUCUAUUGUCUAACCCUCCCCUAUAUGCCUCCAGUCCUCAUACAUCAUUUCCAAACUCCUGUACUGCCGUAAGUGCCUCUUUGCAACCCUCUCGCUGUGGCAUGUUCACAUACACCUCCUCCUCCCUUGAUAAAGGGGCCUCGGGGUCAGCUUGUGGUGAGUCUAUCUGGGUGCUGGUAGGUCUGGAGCAUAACUCAUUUCCUAUGUUCACAGGGUAGGUAACAGUGAUGUUGACAUUAACUAGGGGUACAGAUGCCAGGGGGCUGGUGGAUUGGGGGCUGGGCUGGGGGGGUGCUGGCCAGGAUGCUGGGCUGUGGAAUGGUGGACUGGACGGGGCUUAUUGACAAGCCAUCCAGGCUGUUGGAGCACCCUGAGCCUGACCAGGUCUUAAUAGCAUCCUGCUGGGUCUCUGCCUGACCGACAUUACUGCAGUCUCCUUUCCCCAGCAGACACUAUAUAUAUAUAGAGAGAGAGAGAGAGAAAAUGUUGAAGCUGUUGAAAUGUUCUUGCCUCAAACAUGCUUUACUACGGUUAAAUGGCAAAAAAACUAACUUUAAUGGCCUCCUUCUCAGAAUUUCCAUUUAUAUCUUCUGUAGAAGAUACACGUAUGAAGUUUGUGAAGGCUGUAAGAGAACAUAGUAAACAUACAGUAAAAUGUCAUUUUCAUAGCCAUGUUUGCAAUCAAUUAAAGGGCUAUUACAAUCAAGUGUUUAACUCUAAAGCUUUACCUUUCUUGUAAAUGACAGUGCCUACGAUCAGCAGCAGGAACAUAGCACCUCCGAUAGCACCUGCAACUGAAAGAUACAAGAGCGGGGGUUACAACAAAGCGGUGUAAGUAUACGAGAGACGGCGGUGGAGAAAUGUUAAAACCACGAGAGUGGUCUCUGACACGUGGACUAUAUAGCUGCCUGUAUUUACCUAUCCAGAGGUUAAUGCCUGGUGAUUUUUCUUCCGUUGGAGCGAUGACCCGUGGAUCAGAGGGACUAGAUGUCAGCUUUGAGCCUCGGGUGGUUGGAACUGUAGACGUAUCCAUGCUCUGUAGACUUGAUGUGGUAUGCCCUUUACCAGAGGGUGGCAUUGUGGUCGGUGGGCUUGGAGGUGUGGUGGUUUGGAGGAUGGAGACCAGUCGUCCGUUUACCUUCGGUCCACACACCGCAUCGGUGGUGGCUGUACCGUAAGUCAGUACGUCCCUCCCCUGAGACAGACAACUGAGGAGACAGUGUCACAGUCCCAUUGUUAACACCAAUACCGACAGUCCAAAUAAUUGCUGUGUGUGUGCGCGUCUGUGUGUGUGCGUGCUUGCAUGUGUUUGUGUUAUGCAUGAAUGUGUGAGUCACUCACUCUGUGUGGUGCUGGCAGAUCUGGGUGUAGGAGUACUGGUCAGAGAAGGUUCCAUCGGGGCAUGAUGCACAUUCCACAUCCGACUCUGCUGUCCCUGAAACACACACCACAACACACAAACACGUUUACUCAUACUCUUACAGUGAACAGUUGCAUUCAAACUUCCAAUAUAAUAUUUGAGGAGGACAGAAACAUGUGGAAUCAGUUAGAAAUAGUGUCCUACCAGCCUCCUGUCCAGCUAUGGUACCUUCUACAGAGACCCCAUAACCAGGCUUGCAGUAUGUCAAAUUUGCACACUCCUCACAGUCCGGGUGUUGGUUCAGUACGCAGUACAUCCCAGUCUGGCACGCACACUGAGUCUUGGUGGUGCUGGAGCACUUCUGGACAUACUUCAGGCCUUUGUCUUCAUGCAUAAAGGAAUAAAAUGCUCAUUAAAGACUACACACCUAUCAAUGUAGCUGAGUCACUGGAGUAACAUAACCCACCCACCUGCUGAACACUUGGGACAUCUGAAGCAUUUUGCGAAGUAAUUAAAGGUCCCACUGUACUGGCCUCUAGGACAUGGUUCACACGCCGUGUCUGAGGUAGAGCUGCAUAGAUCUUUCCGGCGUGUCCCUGUAAUGACAUACAUGUAUAAUUUACAGUAAUCAUCUCAGUACAUGUACAUUUUACAGAACCUACAGAGUGCCGUAAAAGUAUUGUUAUGUUUGAAGUGGUCAUAUUUAGUGCUAUGAUUCUAAGGAUGUCCUCUCCUCUCAGUUUCAUUAGUGUUUAGGACUACACCUUACCAGAAGUACACUUGCUGCAGCAGAGGUUUACCUCUGCGUUAUAGUAUUCAGCUGUUUUGUUGUGGCAGGAUCCGUCAGAGUCUGGUGCGUAUGGCAGAGUGUACACCUGUAGGGACGAGGGGACCAUGAAGUGCACCUGAUCAGGAGAAGGAGUGAUGAGAAGUGGUUGAGGAGAUCGGAGAGAUUUCCAAUAAGUUGUCAAGGACUGGCUAUGACGUCUGAAUACCAAAGAUAUGUCGCUGCCAAGGCCUCUCACUAUCGUCCUCUCUACAAUGGACAGAAUGUCUCUUCUGACAGGCAUUUCCUUUUCAUUUAUGGCAGCCAUCCAAAACAAACAUAUCAAAUCAGAAAACUGAAUCAGGAGUUUUCCUGAUUUGAUGUGUUUAGUUUUGUGGAACACUCGAGUUAAGCCUGAAAAUGAAAUAUUGAGCUUUACAAAAACAUCCGUUU